UGGACGUUGCGUUGGAAAGUUUCAUGAAUCCCUCACUUAGAGGAAGGAGAAGUCGUAACAAGGUUUCCGUAGGUGAACCUGCGGAAGGAUCAUUC
rnacentral:rRNA from 1 species